rnacentral:rRNA from 1 species
AUUGAACGCUGGCGGCAGGCCUAACACAUGCAAGUCGAGCGAGCGGCGGACGGGUGAGUAAUGUCUGGGGAACUGCCCGAUGGAGGGGGAUAACUACUGGAAACGGUGGCUAAUACCGCAUACCAUCAGAUGUGCCCAGAUGGGAUUAGCUAGUAGGGGGGGUAAAGGCUCACCUAGGCGACGAUCCCUAGCUGGUCUGAGAGGAUGACCAGCCACACUGGGACUGAGACACGGUCCAGACUCCUACGGGAGGCAGCAGUGGGGAAUAUUGCACAAUGGGCGCAAGCCUGAUGCAGCCAUGCCGCGUGUGUGAAGAAGGCCUUCGGGUUGUAAAGUACUUUCAGCGGGGAGGCGUUACCCGCAGAAGAAGCACCGGCUAACUCCGUGCCAGCAGCCGCGGUAAUAC